UCCAGUGUAUGCGAAAAUAUCUGAUCUUCUAACCAAUCAAUUACCAAGACGAGCAAAAAUGUCUGCACCUUUAUUGUAUUUUGAAAGCUUUUCACAUUAUUUCUAAGCUUUAUUAACUUUGAGAACCUAAAAUUGAUUCAGUAAACUGUAGCUGUUAUGAUGUCAGCUGCCGUGCCGUGUGUUUUUCUUUUGAGAUACGAUAUUUUCGAACAACAAAAUGUCUCACCAAUCCGACUACACUUUUUCGUCACAUGUCAGAAUUCAGGUUAAUGAUUGGUUAGAAGAUCAGAUAUUUUCGCAUACAGUGGAGCAUACAUAUUUAAUUCUAAAUAAUCAAUAAAAAGAUUUCCACAAAAAAUUGAGAUACGAGGUUUUUGCAUAACAGCGACGAUAUGCCAUCUGUUAAAGUCUUAUAAAA
rnacentral:lncRNA from 1 species